GAAAUUGUGCAUUUCAUGGAUCCACUAAAAAGGCGACUUUGUGCUGGUGAAUGGAAAGCUAUUGUCGACAACUCCAUUAAAAUCUUCAAUGCCCAAAAGGGUAGGAAAGGAAGGAAAAUAAUCCAAUGGAAGAAUCUUGCUGGUAUUCCAGAGCAAACUGAUUCUAACACUUGUGGUUAUUUCAUCUUGCGUUAUAUGAAAGAAAUCGUAGAGGAC